rnacentral:pre_miRNA from 1 species
GGGGGGAAGCCCGGAUCCUGGGCUGUGUCCCCGGCGCCCUGGGCUCCGGGGCCUGCCCUGUUGGAUUCGCGUUCCCGGUGGCGCAGCCCCCU